rnacentral:rRNA from 1 species
UAACCUGCCCAAGAGAUCGGGAUAACACCUGGAAACAGAUGCUAAUACCGGAUAACAACAGAUGAUGCCUAUCAACUGUUUAAAAGAUGGUUCUGCUAUCACUCUUGGAUGGACCUGCGGUGCAUUAGCUAGUUGGUAGGGUAACGGCCUACCAAGGCGAUGAUGCAUAGCCGAGUUGAGAGACUGAUCGGCCACAUUGGGACUGAGANACGGCCCAAACUCCUACGGGAGGCAGCAGUG